GUAGAAGGACUUGCGCGGCGUCCGGAUCAGCCACUGGUUCCUCAUUUUUAUGCCGUCUUCCAAGUCCUCAAUCUGGCUGUCCUCUGAAAAAAGAAAAUCAUAAUAAUAAAGUGAUGGAAGAAUCACGCGUCUGUGCUGCUCACCGAGAGGGAUGAUCUUCUGUUUUUUGUGCCAGCGGCGGUUCAGAAUGAUGCUGCCGUACACCAGCACGUCGUUGAAGAGGAAGAAGACCUUGGGCUGUGGCCCCCGGCGGCUCAUCUUCAUCAGCCGGCCCUCUCCGAUCAGGACCCGACCCGGCUCGAACAGGGGCUUCCCCGACGGCCCAAACGAGCUCUCCACGGCGUGGAUGCGGUCCCGGUUAUCCUGGCCAAACAUCAGCUGGUUCUCCCUGGUGCCCAUUUAUAAUCUAGUUGACAAGACGACACGAGCUGCUGCUGUUGUUGUUGUUGUUGUUGUUGUUGUUGUUGUUUCUGCAUAGAUAGCUCCCAGCCUCUGUCCUGUGCUCGCGCAGCCUUCGUAAUGACACAUGCAGCGGCGCACCGGCGCUUUUCAAGUGUUGGUGACGCGUCGGGGGAAAAAAAUACGGGACUUCCCUGAAAGUAAGUUACAGCUGGAAGACAAACAGGUUCAAAGAAGUUGUCGAUACAUCAAUGCUUUCUUUCCAAUGUGCUAGUUGUAUAACACAAGUCCUUUCUUUUGACUUCCAGGUGGAAAUAUUAUGACUAAAACGUUGCAUUUUGCACCGUUUUAAACAGCCAGGCAACGAUAUGAGAUAUUUAGGUAAAUACACGUGCGCUUAAUAACAACAACAACCUGUUUAGUGGCCACUAAAUAUAUUUAUAGGACACAAAUGUGAGAAAGGGGAAAUCCACAACAACUGUGACCUGAAACUACGGACCUGAAAAGCACGUAGUUUGUUUCACAAACAAAUGUGUUUUUUCUUCUGGUUAGAAAACAAACAAGUCAGUUUAGUAACUUGAGUUAUGGGUGAUAAAGCAAUAAGUAUUAGCAUGUCACGAGGAACAACCCGCUCUACCCAAGUUCAUGAAAUUAAACACAUUGGUUUUUGCAAAGCACAGAAACCAAGUCCACCUGGUUAGACAGGUUCUCUUUAAAAAAAGAAAAGGAGGCAGUCCAUCAGGGAUGUGAGAGGCAAACAUGCACUUAGGCAUCCCCAGCUGGAGUUCAGGAAAGUACAGACACUUGAACAGGAUUUAUGACCAGGUUUCUUUUGAAAUAAGGGAUGCAGUACACUUGUGUGGUUACCACGCACGUUUGCUCCGUGCCCUGCUGCACAAUACAUAUUAAAUAGUGAAAUUAAAUGAGAUGAAUCAAACUAAAUACUGCUAUCAAACAGCGGAUGUUUUCUACCAUCUGGCUGCUUACAUUAAACUCCUUCAGCCCGCUGUGAGCAGACGUGUGGACAACACCACGAGCUAAAGACUGGGACUGGCUUCCUGCUGGAUGACAACUGAGCAUGACAGUUACAGCUUGUUGAAACGGUUCGAAACUCGAAGAGUUGAUAGUUUUGACGAGACUUUUCUUUGCUGAAUAUUAGUGUUUUUCUAUUAAAAUGAAUAAAACAAAACAAAUUCAAAUGUAACAAAAUAAGACAGAAAAAUAAUUUCUCACGUCUGCAUUUCAUUGUUUUUUGUCUAGCACAAAACAAUAUUAAAUGAUCAAAAAAGUAUGCAUUUAAUUUCAGGAACAUUAUAUAAAAAAACUAAACAUACAAUAAAUAAAUAUGACCAGUAAUUAAACUUGCCUGCUGUCUGGUUAAAGUGUCUCUGAAACACAACUGUACAAUCAAGUGGACCGAGUUGCCAAUUUCGGUUUUCAGACCCGACAAACCUCCCGACACAGAGGACACUAUACAACUGUAUGACUGGCUGAUUCACACUCCCCAUGACAAGUAAACAGAGUGCCAUGUUGGUGGAGUUCACCGCUCACAUAAAGUGACACCUAUUUGUGAAAGUCGGCCAUAUUCAGUUUGGUGUUAACAGAACCAAAAACUGAAAUAUAUAUAUAUAUAUAUUUUUUACAGUCCAGUAAAUGGCCUCAAUGCAUCCGCUACACGUCGGUCCCUGCCGUUGCCGUUCUCUCCGUCUCUCCGCGUGGUUGACGCCUCACAAGUCGAUGGUUCCUCUCACUUUGAACUUCUUGGCCGAGCGCUCGCUGGCUCGCUGCUCAAACCGGCUCCCGUAGAUGUGCGAGACGAAGCCGUUGAUCUCCACCUCGAACACGCUGUUCCUCUUGGGGAUCACUGUGACGGGACAAGUGCAAGGGGGCCGUCAAGCCAACUGUCCAGAGGUUUACUCGGGAACUGGCUGCACAAUACUGUUGUGUGAAGACAUACGGAAGAUCAAAUGUCAACAUGAACCAUUUGAAUUUGACCAAGAAUCGGUCAUGUGCUUUUUAAAGGUUCUUUGUACGAGAUGUGUGUGUGGAAACCCGAGCCUCUGACAAUGUUCACUGCAAACAGUACAACUUGUUCAUAGCAGGAAAAAUAAAAGCUCCAACAAGUGUCCCAGUGAGCCAGAAAUGCACAACAACAUCGGUCACACUUGUGGAAGUCAAAAUGGCUGCUGUGAAAACAGUCUAUUGGGAUCCAGAAUAUCUUUCAGUUGCACUGGUCCAUCAAACCUUUUCAUUUGGUCGCACCAGCAAACCAUUUUAAGUGCACCUAAAAUGUUGACAUUUGUGAUUUGUUAACACUUAAUGCAAAUUAUUGUAAACAUGAAUAAAAGAUUAUGCAGAUAA